CAAAACCUGGAAUGUUCGAUAACUCCUGUAUUUUUGAACCUACAUUACUUUAAACGGGAUUCCUAUAUCUGUAUGUAGAUGUCGGGCCGUCACUGCACAUUGUGUAUUGAAUGGUUUCAUUUACAACGGAAGGCUGAAGCAUACAUGCGGUUGCCCACCUAGCUUUAGCUAGGAGUCAAAGAUUCAGGAACCGGCAUUUUGGGGAUUUA
rnacentral:other from 1 species